UACGUAGGGUGCGAGCGUUGUCCGGAAUUAUUGGGCGUAAAGGGCGCGUAGGCGGGUGCUCAAGUCCGUGGUGAAAUCCUCCGGCUCAACCGGAGAACUGCCUCGGAUACUGGGCGUCUCGAGUGUGGUAGGGGUAUGCGGAACUAUCGGUGGAGCGGUGAAAUGCGUUGAUAUCGAUAGGAACUCCGGUGGCGAAGGCGGCAUACUGGACCACCACUGACGCUGAUGCGCGAAAGCCAGGGGAGCAAACGGG
rnacentral:rRNA from 1 species